rnacentral:rRNA from 1 species
CGUCCGUAACGAGCGCAACCCUCGUCCUUAGUUACCAGCACGUUAUGGUGGGCACUCUAAGGAGACUGCCGGUGACAAACCGGAGGAAGGUGGGGAUGACGUCAAGUCAUCAUGGCCCUUACGGCCUGGGCUACACACGUGCUACAAUGGUCGGUACAAAGGGUUGCCAACGCCGCGGAGGUGGAGCUAAUACCCAUAAAACCGAUCGUAGUCCGGAUCGCAGUCUGCAACUCGACUGCGUGAAGUCGGAAUCGCUAGUAAUCGUGAAUCAGAAUGUCACGGUGAAUACGUUCCCGGGCCUU